CAACCCUCACUUGAAUAUUCCUAUGGUUAGUGGUAGACCACAGCUCGGAGGAAAAAUGCUAGGCAGCAAAUGAUAUUCUGUUGCAAGGAAUACAUUUAAAACAUAAAGUGAAUAAUUUAAUGGCAAAGAAGAUUAUCCUGGAAGAGAGGUUAGGAAUCUCUCUUAAACUAUUAGUUUAAGCCAAGAAACUGAAAGAGUGAGAGCAAAAAAACAAUCUCAAGUAUCUAGCUCAAGUGUCUAGCUGACAAUGGUGAAGACUAAAAUUCCUGUCUUAGGAGAAGAGGUGCAGGUCCUAGUCACCAUCAGGGAAGUUGCCCUUGUGCUCUUGACCUUCCAAAAUACAGUUCUGUUCAGAUGAGAAUCCCCAGCAGUCUUGCAGCACUAACCCCCUGAAAUGGCAGAUGGCAGAACUAGAACUUGGGAAUCAGGAGCAGUUCCUACAAAAUGAAGAACUGUCUCAGAGACUGCAGGAAAAGGAGUAGACUCAUGCAGUAGAGAGCAAGGAGGAACCAAGAAUGCAAUGACAACUAUCGAGCAGCCCAGGUGGCUCAGGAUGAGGAGACUGCUAGAUAUAUGCAGAACCAAGAACUGAAAGCCCAGUGGAGAUCUCAUGAGACAAACCUGGAGACAGAGAACAGUGAUGAGGGGAACAACUUAUCUGAGCCAAGGAGAAGCAAGGACAAGAAGGUAACAUGUUAAGUGUCUAUCACUUGGACAAAAUACUCCAGGUCACAAAAAGACCUAGCUAAUGAGACUGAAGACCGUACAUAGAGUCCUCUGUGCUUUUAUAGCGGCAAAGAGUCCUGUGGCACCUUAUAGACUAACAGACAUAUUGGAGCAUAAGCUUUCAUGGGCCCCAUGCAUCCGACGAAGUGGGUAUUCAUCCACUAAAGCUUAUGCUCCAAUACGUCUGUUAGUCAAUAAGGUGCCACAGGACUCUCUGCCGCUUUUACAGAUCCAGACUAACACGUCUAUGCCUCUGAUACUUGUGCUUUUAUAGUUACAGCAAACAAAAUAAUGUGGAAAUCUGUCCCAAGGGUUCUAUCCUAUCUGUCCCAAAAAUAUUUUUGCAAGGUAGGUGCCAGAAACAAAAUUCCCCUAAAGGCUUACUGAUCAGAGAAGAGGAGAUGCCUGACAGAUCAGGGCAUCAAAACAAGCUGUGGAGAUGUAUGGCUAGAUGCUGAGGUACCUGGAUCCCCAGUCAGAGGUCAGACCCUGGAAAGGUCAGACUUCCCAACACAAGGAGGCAGCAUAGACAGAACAAAGUAGGUGUUUUUAUUCAGACUAGUAAUCUCUUGUAUGUAUAUAUUCUGGACUAUUUUAGGGCCUUGUAUACUUGUGAGGGGUAAAGUUUUAGAGCCUUGUGUAGAAGAGUUAUUUUCCAGCUAGUGCAAUGCUCUCUCUAUACCGCAGUCUCUUUGCAUGCAAUGGGGUCUCAGUUUCAUAACAGUUCAAAGGGCAGUUUGAGGAAAUAAAGAUCCAAGAUAUUCAAUGAUUUUCCCAGUACUUUCCCUGUCUAAACUAAUGUACAAUGUUGAUGUAUCAGUCACUCAAGGUAGAUAAAAGAACAAGAAAUACAUGCUACAGUGUGUCCAGAACUUAAAGUUGCAGCUGAAAUGUGUUCUUGUAAACUCCAUCUGAAUAUAUUAGGGAACAAAUCCAAAUUUUGAUAUACCAGCAUUCCAACUUCAGGAGACGCUUCUGAAUUCUGAAUAAUCAAAGUUUACCUUAAAGAAGUUAAUCUAUGUUAUAGCCCACCACAAAACAACCUGAAUGCACUAAUAGAGACAUACAUGGGGCAUGGUAAUAAGAUACCCCUGAAUGUUCUUCUAGGAGGUAUGAGGUGAGAGUAAGAGUUACUCUUGCUGUAAGAGAGGACUGAAAUAGAACAGUACAAGUUUCAGAUCAAGAUUGCCCAGAUAAGAAAUGACUAGCUAUCUUAGUUCUGUAAACAUAUACGUUCAGAAACUGUCUUCAGACAUUUGGAGAAGAAAACUUACAAAUAUGAAAUGCUAAAGAUGCAAAUAAAAAGGCAAAAGUAUGUAAAUCUGCUGUAACAUUCAACGUUUCCACAGGCAACAAUUUCCUCCAAAUACUGAUGAAGAUCUGGACCCAACUUUUAAGUCAAAAAAGACAAAACCACCUGCUGAAGUGUUUGCAUCCUGCUCCCAUGCUGCCCAGUCACACACUGUUCCAGUUGAUGGCCUCUUUGAUUAUAUGGAUGAUACCAUUGGACCUGCCUUUAUUUCACUGACCAAAUGUCAGCCUGAAAAGCUAGGACACCAAAAAUCCAGGGACAAGAAGGAAGGCUGUAAGCAGCAGUGAAUCCUAGAGCCUACUUCCUCUAGCAACAAUAAAAUAUAUUUCUUCGCCAUAGUUGUGUGUUGAAUGAUGAGUCCUUCUUUCUGUCUUAAUUACCAAUGACCAGAUCUACAUAAUGCAAUUCCUUCCCUGUUCAAGAUUUGCUUUAUUACUUUGGUGGAGCCUUUUACGGAACUCUGGUGGAUGCACAGUGAGGUUGCUAUUCCUGUGUGUUAAUGGACAUUGAAUCAUCAUAGUUGCUGUAUAUUAAAAUUCAGUUUUAGAUGAAAGUUUAACUCUGAGAGAAGUAAUUUGUCAUGUUGUUGUUAAUACAAUCAGGGAGGAAUCCAAAAGUCUGCAUGCCACUUUUUCCAGGAUCUUUAGGGAGCAAAUUGUUUCAAACAAUUAGAUGUGCCAUCAUGAAUUAUUGAGUUGAACUAUGAUGCUACUAUUGCAGUUGAAAUACAACUGUACAGUAUAUUACUUGUUUACCUGCCAGUGGGAUUAGAUCUGAAUUCCUUAUUUUGUCUUGUUAGAAUUAAGACUUCAGCACAACUGCAGUGAGACUAGACAUGUGCAACCUAAUUGCUCAUUAUAUUUUCCUCAAUACUGCUUGGACAAACUUACCUCAUUUUUUUCAUAAGAGAAGAAAAUGUCUUGAAAAUAUUUUCCAGAAAGUAUUGAAGAAAUUAAACUUGAAAAGAUGUGAACGAUAGCUUAACAUUUCUCUUGAAGACUGUCAUGUAAGUUGAGGAGACUGCAUGUGAUACUGCAAACUGCAGUAGACACUUCUGACAUGCUGAAAGGGAAAGGAGCUUUUCAGCUGUAUCUACAAUAUACAUGAUGAUAAAUGAGGGUUUUUCAAAAGCACCAUUAUUUCAGAAGAACAUGUACUUCUCUGGGAUCUAGAGCGGGAACAGGCCAUUCAUUGUGAAUAUAGUAAAGGCAGGUACUACUGGAAUAUGUUCUAGGGAGUACAUGAGCCCAUGGCUAAGAUUUUAAUAUUUUAUAAAGACACUUUACAGAUUACUAUUGAUAAUUCAAAUGCUGUAAAAGUUUUGAGAUGUUAAAUAGAUUUGCUAUAGAUAUUAUUCACUUGAGAUUACCUUGUUUUUGACAUGGAGCAUAUUGAAGUGCAAAGCACAUUGUUUAAAAUUGGUGCUAAUGUUUUAGUUUUGCACUUUCAUGUGUGUUCAUUUUCUGCUUCUUGCACCUUUCAUAAAAUCCAGUAGCACAGGCUGCUGUUCAGCAGUUCUGUUGGCAAAUAAGAACUGUGUCCCUUGUAGGAAAUGCCCUGGUAGUGUUCUGAACCUUCCUUUGCAUUUGUACCAUGUGUUAAUUUCAAGCUCGUUUUAUAAACCUACUUGUACAUGUAUGCAUUAUGCCCUUCAUAUUUCAAGUUAAAUAAAAUAGAAGUUUUUUAAAUGGAA